AAAGAUCAUGUGGAUGAGAAAGAUGUGAAUCCUCCUCCUAGCAUAUGCCGUGGUUGCAACUCUGCGAUUGAGGAUGGAAUAAAGUUUGAUGCCUUUGAUGUUCCUUGGCAUCCUCCGUGUUUAAUCCUUCAUUCUCAACAAUUGCCAAUUGCUACGAACAAGAUUCCAUGCUAUGUCUGUAAUAAGAAGAUUAAAAGAGAGUUCCAUGCUCAUCCG